ACAAAGAAGAAGAAGAGGACCCGGAUGUGAUACGUUAGUAUUCCCCCCCAUAGCCCCCCUACACACACACACACUAUCAAGAUUGCGUAGUUCUCCGUUUUAUGGUCUGCACCACUUUAUUCGUUGAUAGUGGAACAUAAAGGAAAAUGUUCGGAAAUAGAGCAGAAAAAACAUUAAGGUUUUAGUUUCUGCUACAUCGUCGCCGUGCUGGCCCUUUAAGAAAGCCGGAGAUCUAAGAGUGUCAAGUAGGGUAUUAUGUCAUGUUCAUCAAGCUCUGCACUGGUGGUGCAGCUCCAUCCAGUCCUAGUCCUCAGCAGAAGGGGAACUAUUUAAAUAUCCUGGAUUUUAACUGCUAAGAGCAAGAGCCUGACUCAAAGAAAUUCUGGAUUCUGGACAG